rnacentral:rRNA from 1 species
CCCCAUCCCCAGGAGGUUUUGAUCAUGGCUCAGAUUGAACGCUGGCGGCAGGCCUAACACAUGCAAGUCGAGCGGAUGAAGGGAGCUUGCUCCUGGAUUCCAGCGGCGGACGGGUGAGUAAUGCCUAGGAAUCUGCCUGGUAGUGGGGGAUAACGUCCGGAAACGGGCGCUAAUACCGCAUACGUCCUGAGGGAGAAAGUGGGGGAUCUUCGGACCUCACGCUAUCAGAUGAGCCUAGGUCGGAUUAGCUAGUUGGUGGGGUAAAGGCCUACCAAGGCGACGAUCCGUAACUGGUCUGAGAGGAUGAUCAGUCACACUGGAACUGAGACACGGUCCAGACUCCUACGGGAGGCAGCAGUGGGGAAUAUUGGACAAUGGGCGAAAGCCUGAUCCAGCCAUGCCGCGUGUGUGAAGAAGGUCUUCGGAUUGUAAAGCACUUUAAGUUGGGAGGAAGGGCAGUAAGUUAAUACCUUGCUGUUUUGACGUUACCAACAGAAUAAGCACCGGCUAACUUCGUGCCAGCAGCCGCGGUAAUACGAAGGGUGCAAGCGUUAAUCGGAAUUACUGGGCGUAAAGCGCGCGUAGGUGGUUCAGCAAGUUGGAUGUGAAAUCCCCGGGCUCAACCUGGGAACUGCAUCCAAAACUACUGAGCUAGAGUACGGUAGAGGGUGGUGGAAUUUCCUGUGUAGCGGUGAAAUGCGUAGAUAUAGGAAGGAACACCAGUGGCGAAGGCGACCACCUGGACUGAUACUGACACUGAGGUGCGAAAGCGUGGGGAGCAAACAGGAUUAGAUACCCUGGUAGUCCACGCCGUAAACGAUGUCGACUAGCCGUUGGGAUCCUUGAGAUCUUAGUGGCGCAGCUAACGCGAUAAGUCGACCGCUUUGGAUUCGAU